GACGAACGCUGGUGGCGUGCUUAACACAUGCAAGUCGAACGGAAAGGCCCUGCUUUUGUGGGGUGCUCGAGUGGCGAACGGGUGAGUAACACGUGAGUAACCUGCCCUUGACUUUGGGAUAACUUCAGGAAACUGGGGCUAAUACCGGAUAGGAGCUCCUGCUGCAUGGUGGGGGUUGGAAAGUUUCGGCGGUUGGGGAUGGACUCGCGGCUUAUCAGCUUGUUGGUGGGGUAGUGGCUUACCAAGGCUUUGACGGGUAGCCGGCCUGAGAGGGUGACCGGCCACAUUGGGACUGAGAUACGGCCCAGACUCCUACGGGAGGCAGCAGUGGGGAAUAUUGCACAAUGGGCGGAAGCCUGAUGCAGCAACGCCGCGUGCGGGAUGACGGCCUUCGGGUUGUAAACCGCUUUCGCCUGUGACGAAGCGUGAGUGACGGUAAUGGGUAAAGAAGCACCGGCUAACUACGUGCCAGCAGCCGCGGUGAUACGUAGGGUGCGAGCGUUGUCCGGAUUUAUUGGGCGUAAAGGGCUCGUAGGUGGUUGAUCGCGUCGGAAGUGUAAUCUUGGGGCUUAACCCUGAGCGUGCUUUCGAUACGGGUUGACUUGAGGAAGGUAGGGGAGAGUGGAAUUCCUGGUGGAGCGGUGGAAUGCGCAGAUAUCAGGAGGAACACCAGUGGCGAAGGCGGUUCUCUGGGCCUUUCCUGACGCUGAGGAGCGAAAGCGUGGGGAGCGAACAGGCUUAGAUACCCUGGUAGUCCACGCUGUAAACGGUGGGUACUAGGUGUGGGGUCCAUUCCACGGGUUCCGUGCCGUAGCUAACGCUUUAAGUACCCCGCCUGGGGAGUACGGCCGCAAGGCUAAAACUCAAAGGAAUUGACGGGGCCCCGCACAAGCGGCGGAGCAUGCGGAUUAAUUCGAUGCAACGCGUAGAACCUUACCUGGGUUUGACAUGGAUCGGGAGUGCUCAGAGAUGGGUGUGCCUCUUUUGGGGUCGGUUCACAGGUGGUGCAUGGCUGUCGUCAGCUCGUGUCGUGAGAUGUUGGGUUAAGUCCCGCAACGAGCGCAACCCUUGUUCACUGUUGCCAGCACGUUAUGGUGGGGACUCAGUGGAGACCGCCGGGGUCAACUCGGAGGAAGGUGGGGAUGACGUCAAGUCAUCAUGCCCCUUAUGUCCAGGGCUUCACGCAUGCCUACAAUGGCUGGUACAGAGAGUGGCGAGCCUGUGAGGGUGAGCGAAUCUCGGAAAGCCGGUCUCAGUUCGGAUUGGGGUCUGCAACUCGACCUCAUGAAGUCGGAGUCGCUAGUAAUCGCAGAUCAGCAACGCUGCGGUGAAUACGUUCCCGGG
rnacentral:rRNA from 1 species